UCUCCGUAGGUGAACCUGCGGAGGGAUCAUUACAGAGUUCAUGCCCUUACGGGUAGAUCUCCCACCCUAUGUUAUUAUUACUUUGUUGCUUUGGCGGGCCGCGAGGCUUCGGCCUGGCUUCCGGCUCCGGCUGGUAAGCGCCCGCCAGAGGACCCCCAAACCCUGAAUGUCAGUGUCGUCUGAGUACUAUAUAAUAGUUAAAACUUUCAACAACGGAUCUCUUGGUUCUG
rnacentral:misc_RNA from 1 species